rnacentral:rRNA from 1 species
UACGGGGGGGGCAAGCGUUGUUCGGAAUUCCUGGGCGUAAAGGGCUCGUAGGCGGCCAACUAAGUCAGACGUGAAAUCCCUCGGCUUAACCGGGGAACUGCGUCUGAUACUGGAUGGCUUGAGGUUGGGAGAGGGAUGCGGAAUUCCAGGUGUAGCGGUGAAAUGCGUAGAUAUCUGGAGGAACACCGGUGGCGAAGGCGGCAUCCUGGACCAAUUCUGACGCUGAGUGAGCGAAAGCCAGGGGAGCAAACGGG